ensembl:lncRNA
AAUGGACAGAGGUUCACCAAUCUGCGAACAACUGCUGUUACAGUGGAUCAGGAGCCAAUCCCAAAAACACUGUCAAUGGGACGGGAAUAUCUCUGGUGGGGGACCAGAUGCAGAUGAAACACGAAAUUUUCACAGAAGGUCACGGGGAACCUGGAGCCUAUCCCAGGGAGCAUCAGCACGAGCCGGGGUACACCCUGGACAGGGUGCCAGUCCAUCACAGGGUGUGAUUAAGAUACAAUAGCUUAUAUUAGUCAAUGGGUUCUAGAAUGUUACUACUAUUCAUUUGAUAUUGGCAACAGUGAAGCAUGAUCUACCACAGGGUUCUUCAUCUGCAGAGUUUAGCACCAGCCUCCAAACUUACCUGCCUGUAAUUUACUAGUAAUCAUGAAGACCUUGGUUAGCUUGUUCCGGUGUGUUUGAU